UACGGGGGGGGUAAGCGUUGUUCGGAAUUACUGGGCGUAAAGGGCUCGUAGGCGGCCAACUAAGUCAGACGUGAAAUCCCUCAGCCUAACUGGGGAACUGCGUCUGAUACUGGAUGGCUUGGAUUCGGGAGAGGAAUGCGGAAUUCCAGGUGUAGCGGUGAAAUGCGUAGAUAUCUGGAGGAACACCGGUGGCGAAGGCGGCAUUCUGGACCGACAUUGACGCUGAGGAGCGAAAGCCAGGGGAGCAAACGGG
rnacentral:rRNA from 1 species